CGUCUAUAUACGUAUAGCAUAUCAAUAAGCGGAGGAAAAGAAACUAACAAGGAUUCCCCUAGUAACGGCGAGUGAAGCGGGAAGAGCUCAAAUUUGAAAUCUUCAAGGGUUUCCCUUGACGAAUUGUAGUUUAAAGAAGUGUUUUCUGUUAGAGAGGUGGUAAAAGUUCUUUGGAAUAGGACAUCAUAGAGGGUGAGAAUCCCGUAUUUGAUCACUUUCUACUAACGUUGUGAUACACUUUCAAAGAGUCGGAUUGUUUGGGAAUGCAGUCCAAAAUGGGUGGUAAAUUUCAUCUAAAGCUAAAUAUUGGCGAGAGACCGAUAGCGAACAAGUACCGUGAGGGAAAGAUGAAAAGAACUUUGAAAAGAGAGUUAAACAGUACGUGAAAUUGUCAAAAGGGAAGCGUUUGACACCAGUGUUGUUUUUCCGAAAAUCAAUUACGAAUGUUUUGUUUUUAAGAAGUUAUGACUUCAUCGGCUUGCUUCUUUCUUUACGAAACUUUCUUAAUGCACUUUUCGGUUAACAAGUCAACAUCAAUUUCUUUUGUUGUAAAAGGGGUAUGAGGAAGGUGGCUUUCUUUUCGGAGAAAGUGUUUAUAGCCUUGUAGCCUCUGCAAUCGGAGAGAUUGAGGUCUGCAGCGUAGAUCCUUCGGGGUUAGAUACAUUGGUGCUAAGUUAUAGCUCUGUCAUAAACAACUUGUUGACUAUGUUAGUCAUUGUAGCUUACUCGCUGAUGCUAUUUUACCUACGCUUAGGAUGUUGAUAGUCACAGCGUGUAC
rnacentral:rRNA from 1 species